GACGAACGCUGGCGGCGUGCUUAACACAUGCAAGUCGAACGGAAAGGCCCUGCUUUUGUGGGGUGCUCGAGUGGCGAACGGGUGAGUAACACGUGAGUAACCUGCCCUUGACUUUGGGAUAACUUCAGGAAACUGGGGCUAAUACCGGAUAGGAGCUCCUGCUGCAUGGUGGGGGUUGGAAAGUUUCGGCGGUUGGGGAUGGACUCGCGGCUUAUCAGCUUGUUGGUGGGGGAGUGGCUUACCAAGGCUUUGACGGGUAGCCGGCCUGAGAGGGUGACCGGCCACAUUGGGACUGAGAUACGGCCCAGACUCCUACGGGAGGCAGCAGGGGGGAAUAUUGCACAAUGGGCGGAAGCCUGAUGCAGCAACGCCGCGUGCGGGAUGACGGCCUUCGGGUUGUAAACCGCUUUCGCCUGUGACGAAGCGUGAGUGACGGUAAUGGGUAAAGAAGCACCGGCUAACUACGUG
rnacentral:rRNA from 1 species